UACGGAGGGAGCUAGCGUUAUUCGGAAUUACUGGGCGUAAAGCGCACGUAGGCGGCUUUGUAAGUUAGAGGUGAAAGCCUGGAGCUCAACUCCAGAAUUGCCUUUAAGACUGCAUCGCUUGAAUCCAGGAGAGGUGAGUGGAAUUCCGAGUGUAGAGGUGAAAUUCGUAGAUAUUCGGAAGAACACCAGUGGCGAAGGCGGCUCACUGGACUGGUAUUGACGCUGAGGUGGCG
rnacentral:rRNA from 1 species